UACGUAGGGUGCAAGCGUUAAUCGGAAUUACUGGGCGUAAAGCGUGCGCAGGCGGUUUUGUAAGUCUGUCGUGAAAUCCCCGGGCUCAACCUGGGAAUUGCGAUGGAGACUGCAAGGCUUGAAUCUGGCAGAGGGGGGUAGAAUUCCACGUGUAGCAGUGAAAUGCGUAGAGAUGUGGAGGAACACCGAUGGCGAAGGCAGCCCCCUGGGUCAAGAUUGACGCUCAUGCACGAAAGCGUGAGGAGCAAACAGG
rnacentral:rRNA from 1 species